rnacentral:rRNA from 1 species
UACGAAGGGGCUAGCGUUGCUCGGAAUCACUGGGCGUAAAGGGUGCGUAGGCGGGUCUUUAAGUCAGGGGUGAAAUCCUGGAGCUCAACUCCAGAACUGCCUUUGAUACUGAAGAUCUUGAGUCCGGGAGAGGUGAGUGGAACUGCGAGUGUAGAGGUGAAAUUCGUAGAUAUUCGCAAGAACACCAGUCGGCGAAGGCGG